rnacentral:rRNA from 1 species
UACGGAGGGGGCAAGCGUUGUUCGGAAUUACUGGGCGUAAAGGGCUCGUAGGCGGCCAACUAAGUCAGACGUGAAAUCCCUCGGCUUAACCGGGGAACUGCAUCUGAUACUGGAUGGCUUGAGAUUGGGAGAGGGAUGCGGAAUUCCAGGUGUAGCGGUGAAAUGCGUAGAUAUCUGGAGGAACACCGGUGGCGAAGGCGGCAUCCUGGACCAACACUGACGCUGAGGAGCGAAAGCCAGGGGAGCAAACGGG